rnacentral:lncRNA from 1 species
CACCGCUUCCUUGAAGGUCAUGAUCCGAACUGCAUCCUGUAGUAGGCUCAUUUCAUAUCAUGAUAAGCACAGAUUAAAACUAAACGAUUCAAACAGAUGAUGAUGCUACACGAAUUAAAAGCUAAAUUCCAUCCCAUAAAGCGAUGCCUCGUACUAAAAGGACCUGUAAGAUAAACAAACAGUACAUAAACACAAUUCAAAUUCAAGCAACACGACAAAUUACCGCGAUUAAACUGAUAGCCCGACAAACUUUUGACCCCAGAAUCCAAUUAUUCAUGGCUAUGAUUCACUGGGAAGCUUCUCAUCCCCAAUCAGUCACUCAAUCUAAGAAAUAUCUAACAUAUUCCAUUUUUUUUUAACUGCUGUCUCACACAAAGGAAAUUCCAGACGACCGCGAAAUGACUUGACAUCAAAUUCAACAACCAAGAAAAAGAACCACGCUCAGUUGAUCACAGCGCGAGAAAAGCAGACAUGGGUUUGGCUAAAUUACAUCUAGACAUGGACAAAACAAAACCAGAGUACGUUCUUGAACGAACCCAUCAGCAGAAAACUCAAGCUCCGAUCAUGCAGAAACGAAAAAGAGCCGCACAAAACGACUCCAAGAAGCAGUCGCUCUGCGUUCGUUCUUACUCUUUCACUACUACUCCACCACCGAGAGUCAAGCCUAAGGACGUCAACGCUUCACGGACGGCGCGCCAUUUUCAGGCGAUCGGAAGAGGACACGAGCGUUGGUGAAGAGGCCGGGUGCUGAGCAGCCGUCGGAGCUCGAGCGAGACCGUCACUUCGAAAGCGAAGGAGGAGAGAGACAAAACUCCAUGAAAACGCAGUGAAGAUGGCAUUUUUAAACGAAAAGAAAAAAUGGUAUCAUUGGAUGCUGUCGGUCCACCGACAACAACCUCCUUGGACGCUAAUAAUAAUACUAGAGAGAGAAAAAUAUAAAUAAUAUUAUCAAAAAAGAACAGAGAUUUUCAC